rnacentral:rRNA from 1 species
GAUGAACGCUGGCGGCGUGCCUAAUACAUGCAAGUCGAGCGGACGGACGAGGAUCUUGCUUCACUGAUGUUAGCGGCGGACGGGUGAGUAACACGUGGAUAACCUACCUAUAAGACUGGGAUAACUUCGGGAAACCGGAGCUAAUACCGGAUGAUAUUUUGAACCGCAUGGUUCAAAAGUGAAAGACGGUCUUGCUGUCACUGCUAGCUGUAUCCGCGCUGCAUUAGCUAGUUGGUAAGGUAACGGCUUACCAAGGCAACGAUGCAUAGCCGACCUGAGAGGGGGAUCGGCCACACUGGAACUGAGACGCGGUCCAGACUCCUACGGGAGGCCGCAGUAGGGAAUCUUCCGCAAUGGGCGAAAGCCUGACGGAGCAACGCCGCGCGAGUGAUGAAGGUCUUCGGAUCGUAAAACUCUGUUAGUAGGGAAGACCAUAUGUGUAAGUAACUGUGCACAUCUUGACGGUACCUAAUCAGAAAGCCACGGCUAACUACGUG